GACGAACCGUGCGAACGCUAUUCGGAAUCAUUGGGCUUAAAGGGCGCGUAGGCGGGCGACCGCGUCGAGUGCUGAAAGCCCCCGGCUUAACCGGGGAAUGGGCCUCGAUACGGGUCACCUCGAGGCGAGGAGGGGGACCUGGAACUUCCGGUGGAGCGGUGAAAUGCGUUGAGAUCGGAAGGAACGCCGACGGCGAAAGCAAGGUCCAUGGACUCGUCCUGACGGCUGAGGCGCGAAAGCCAGGGGAGCAAAGCGGGAUUAAGCAAACCCGGAGUACGUC
rnacentral:rRNA from 1 species